rnacentral:tRNA from 1 species
GGUAGUGUGGCCGAGGUAAGGCGGUGAGUUGUAGCCUCACAGACUGGAGUAACACCCACGCUACCAAGUC